CGAACCGCAGCGGGAGAGCGCACGUCCGACGUGCCGCCGAAGGAGCAACUUCUCCCCAGAAUCUCUCAGGCCCCCAUGACCGCUGCGGUGAG
rnacentral:ncRNA from 2 species